UACGUAGGGUCCGAGCGUUGUCCGGAAUUAUUGGGCGUAAAGGGCUCGUAGGCGGUUUGUCGCGUCGGGAGUGAAAACUCAGGGCUCAACCCUGAGCGUGCUUCCGAUACGGGCAGACUAGAGGUAUUCAGGGGAGAACGGAAUUCCUGGUGUAGCGGUGGAAUGCGCAGAUAUCAGGAGGAACACCGGUGGCGAAGGCGGUUCUCUGGGAAUUACCUGACGCUGAGGAGCGAAAGCAUGGGGAGCGAACAGG
rnacentral:rRNA from 1 species